GAUGAACGCUGGCGGCGUGCCUAAUACAUGCAAGUCGAGCGAACAGACGAGGAGCUUGCUCCUCUUACGUUAGCGGCGGACGGGUGUUUAACACGUGUAUAACCUACCUAUAAUACUUGUAUAACUUCGUGAAACCGUAUCUCAUACCGUAUAAUAUAUUGAACCGCAUGGUUCAAUAGUUAAAUUCGGUUUUUCUGUCUCUUAUAGAUGGAUCCGCGCCGCAUUAUCUAGUUGGUAAGGUAACGGCUUACCAAGGCAACGAUGCGUAUCCGACCUGAGAGGGGGAGCGGACACACUGGAACUGAGACACGGACCAGACGCCUACGGGAGGCAGCAGUAGGGAAUCUGCCGAAAUGGGCGAAAGCAUGACGGAGCAACGCCGCGUGAGUGAUGAAGGUCUUCGGAUCGUAAAACUCUGUUAUUAGGGAAGAAAAAAUGUGUAAGUAAAUAUGCACGUAUUGACGGUAACUAAUCAGAAAGCAACGGCUAACUACGUG
rnacentral:rRNA from 1 species